rnacentral:rRNA from 1 species
UGCAGUCGAGCGAUUUACUUCGGUAAAGAGCGGCGGACGGGUGAGUAACGCGUGGGUAACCUGCCUCAUACACAUGGAUAACAUACCGAAAGGUAUGCUAAUACAGGAUAAUAUAAGAGAUUCACAUGGAUUUUUUAUCAAAGCUCCGGCGGUAUGAGAUGGACCCGCGUCUGAUUAGCUAGUUGGUAAGGUAAUGGCUUACCAAGGCGACGAUCAGUAGCCGACCUGAGAGGGUGAUCGGCCACAUUGGAACUGAGACACGGUCCAAACUCCUACGGGAGGCAGCAGUGGGGAAUAUUGCACAAUGGGCGAAAGCCUGAUGCAGCAACGCCGCGUGAGUGAUGAAGGCCUUCGGGUCGUAAAACUCUGUCCUCAAGGAAGAUAAUGACGGUACUUGAGGAGGAAGCCCCGGCUAACUACGUGCCAGCAGCCGCGGUAAUACGUAGGGGGCUAGCGUUAUCCGGAUUUACUGGGCGUAAAGGGUGCGUAGGUGGUUUUUUAAGUCAGGAGUGAAAGGCUACGGCUCAACCGUAGUAAGCUCUUGAAACUGGAAAACUUGAGUGCAGGAGAGGAAAGUGGAAUUCCUAGUGUAGCGGUGAAAUGCGUAGAUAUUAGGAGGAACACCAGUAGCGAAGGCGGCUUUCUGGACUGUAACUGACACUGAGCACGAAAGCGGUGGGGAGCAAACAGAUUAGA